CGGCGUGCUUAACACAUGCAAGUCGAACGAGAAAUGAUAUUACGAUCUCUUCGGAGUGACGAUUUUAUUUCGAGUGGCGGACGGGUGAGUAACGCGUGAGCAACCUGCCCUAUACCGGGGGAUACCAGUUGGAAACGACUGUUAAUACCGCAUAAGCGCACGAUAAGACAUCUUGUUGUGUGAAAAACUCCGGUGGUAUAGGAUGGGCUCGCGUAUGAUUAGCCAGUUGGCGGGGUAAAGGCCCACCAAAGCGACGAUCAUUAGCCGACCUGAGAGGGCGACCGGCCACAUUGGGACUGAGACACGGCCCAAACUCCUACGGGAGGCAGCAGUGGGGAAUAUUGCACAAUGGGCGAAAGCCUGAUGCAGCGACGCCGCGUGAGUGAGGAAGUAUUUCGGUAUGUAAAGCUCUAUCAGCAGGGAAGAAAGAAAUGACGUACCUGA
rnacentral:rRNA from 1 species